UACGGGGGGAGCAAGCGUUGUUCGGAUUUACUGGGCGUAAAGGGCGCGUAGGCGGUCACGACAAGUCAGUUGUGAAAUCUCCGGGCUUAACCCGGAAAGGUCAAUCGAUACUGCAGGGCUAGAGUGCAGAAGGGGCAACUGGAAUUCUCGGUGUAGCGGUGAAAUGCGUAGAUAUCGAGAGGAACACCUGCGGCGAAGGCGGCCUGCUGGGCAGUAGCUGACGCUGAUGCGCGACAGCGUGGGGAGCAAACAGG
rnacentral:rRNA from 1 species